AUACGGAGGAUCCGAGCGUUAUCCGGAUUUAUUGGGUUUAAAGGGAGCGUAGGCGGAUUGUUAAGUCAGUUGUGAAAGUUUGCGGCUCAACCGUAAAAUUGCAGUUGAAACUGGCAGUCUUGAGUACAGUAGAGGUGGGCGGAAUUCGUGGUGUAGCGGUGAAAUGCUUAGAUAUCACGAAGAACUCCGAUUGUGAAGACAGCUCACUAGACUGUUACUGACACUGAUGCUCGAAAGUGUGGGUAUCAAACAUGAUUAGAUACCCUGUUAGUCCACACAGUAAACGAUGAAUACUCGCUGUUUGCGAUAUACAGUAAGCGGCCAAGCGAAAGCAUUAAGUAUUCCACCUGGGGAGUACGCCGGCAACGGUGAAACACAAAGGAAUUGACGGGG
rnacentral:rRNA from 1 species